UCUUUGUCAUUGGAUGCACCAGAGAACAGGUCAGCAGCGUCUUAUGUAAGCAGUAUACCGUACAUACAUUCUCAAUGGAGGGACUGAAAGCUCUCGGACUAAAUCUAAAAUAUCUUAAACUGUGUUCCGAAGAUGAACGGAGGUCUUACGGGCUUGGAACGACAUGAGGGUGAGUCAUUAAUGACAUAAUUUUCAUUUUUGGGUGAACUAUCCCUUUAACAUUUUAAUAAAUACUAUAAUAGUAUAGUAAUAAAAUAACUGUGGUCCUCAAGUAAUCAUUUUAAUUGAAAAUCAUUUUUUAUCACACUAGUGGUUUCUGGCUGUAUGUAGGGUAUAUUAUUUAAUAGAAUAGAAUAGAAUAGAAUAGAAUAGAAAGGCCCAAAACUGUUGAAACUGUUGAUAAUGUAAAAUGUUGCAGACAGAAGGAAUAUUCAAAGAAAUGUACAUCCUAAAACUUUAUUAUCCUCUGACAUUGUACUACGAGAUGCUGUAGGAACGCUAGUUGUUCUCCAAACUAAAACGGCUAUAGAUUAUUUAUCCUAGCGUCAAGGAUUCAGUGCGUGAAGUGGGCGGAGCUCCGUUUGGCGCUGAAUUGAACGGGCGCUCUGAAGCGCGCGGACUCGAGGCACGCGUCGCUACACACGUGACGCACCUGACGACAACGGUCACAUCAACACGAGCGUCACUCCUCCAGCAUGCAGAGCUGCUACUACCCUCAGCUGCCUCAUCUCACGGACCAUGCGGCGCUAUCAGCCGACCGAUCAUCUAACGUUACUGAAGAUCUGCUGGACUUCGCCACAGAUGAGUGUCAGUCCACUGAUACACAUUCAAGGACACACGAGGCCCACACAGACCUCGAUCUCUCUCUAGAGCUGAACAGACAGCUUCAUGCCACACUCAGGAGAAAGCAAGAGGAAAUAUCUGCCCUGAAGGAGACAAAUGCCCAGCUGAGAAAUCUGGCUCAACAGACUGAACAUUAUGCCACAAUACUAGAAGCCCUGACAACAUCGUUCCAGAGAGACUCAGUAUCACACUGCACUCCUGUGAGGCCAACAGAGGAUCAUUCUUCUGAACACUCCUGGAUCUCUCUGCUGACAGAGGAAGAGCCAUCAGAUCCAUCAUCCACAGCUUUCACUAACUCCAGCACCACUGACAAACAAAGCCCAACAUCAGGAGGCAAGCAGCAGCUGUGGUCUAGCUGGGAUGACCUUCUCUGUGAAGAUGCUGAAGACAACAUCUUGAACUGUCCGUCCAGUUCCAAGCAUCCCAGGCUUGAAAAUGAACUUGUACAAGUAGACUUGGAGCAUCUGAAGGCCCAGCUGGACCAGGAUGAACAGGCUCCUCAGCAACUAAGUGAAGAUUCAGGCCUGACCCAGAAUCAAGUCCUUGAGAUGUCCUCUGGAGGCUUGAUCACACAGAGGGUGAACAUAUUCGGGGCUUUCCAUGGGCUUCGAGUGGUUACACAAACCCCAUCUGUCAUAUCUGAUCUGAACAUGAGUGGAGAUGAUGGAAAAGUGUGCUUUAAGACCGCAAUCAGGGACCACAGUACAGUAAAGACCAAGGUUUUCCCACAUGGAAAGGCUUUCACUUCUCACACACCAAGUGGAUCUUGUAGGUUCCUUUGGGUUCCUAAUGACCACUGA
ensembl:lncRNA